rnacentral:lncRNA from 10 species
GAACCUUCAGAAAGCCAACCUCUCUCUGAGGCUCUCAGUUUGGGGAGCAAGUGUGAGCAUGUUCCUGAUUUAGUCUCUGCCUUGUCACCUUCAAAGGGAGAUAUUCCCAAGUCCGGCAGAUCUUGCCCUUGUGUUUUCACAGCUGUGUGCUCUGUUGCUGUGACCCAGUUUACGGAAGAGGGACUUCCAGCCUAGACAGGACUUCUUGAAGAACACAGAGCAAGAUGAGCCUCCAAAUGAGGUUUGAGAGGCAACAAAAAACCACCAACUCAGCUAGGGAAACUGGUUCUUAUCUUCGAUAGCCUUAACUGGCUCAGAGGAAGAGCUCUUUGCUUCCAGACUUCAUGAUUCCAGACUCCAGAAGCUGAUAUCCUGGAAUCAGAUGCAACAUGUUCACCUAGAUGCCAGACAACUAACUGCUGAAACUUUCCUCCUCCAAAGAGUCAACGAGGCCUGCAAUAGCACUGGUUUUGAAAGAAGAAGCAAGAUUCAUGCUGAGAGUGAGAAGAUGGGAAGUUUGAAAAAAAAAAAAGAAGUGUGAAAUAGUUGUUUAGAUCUAGAGACCCACUGAGAUCUGUGAAGAUACAUUUUAAAUGAGGUAUUAUGGUUCAAAUGUGUCUCCCCAAAGUUUCUGUGCUGGAACUCAGUCCCUAAUGUAACAGUUUUGAGAGGUAGGACCUCAUAAAGCCUCUUCUGUCAUGAAUGGAGUGAUGCCAUUAAUGCAUGAGUGGGCACCUGAUAAAAAAUGAGUUUAUGGCUGGGCACGGUGGCUCACGCCUGUAACCCAGCAGUUUAGGAGGCUGAGGUGGGUAGAUCACUUGAGGUCAAG